rnacentral:sRNA from 1 species
AUAUAAGAUGGAUAUCUAUGCACUUUUAUAAGGAAACAGACGUAGUCUGAUUAUAUCACCGUGUCUGUUUUUGUGCAAUAUAAAAAGAACCUGAGUAAUUUUACCAGGUUCUUUCUUAA